rnacentral:rRNA from 1 species
AGCAGCCGCGGUAAUUCCAGCUCCAAUAGCGUAUAUUAAAGUUGUUGCAGUUAAAAAGCUCGUAGUUGAAUUUCGGGGUUAGUAGGCUGGUCGUGCCACUGGUAUGUACUGGUCUCACUGAUUCCUCCUUCCUGAUGAGCUGUAAUGCCAUUAAUUUGGUGUUGCAGGGAAUCUGGACUGUUACUUUGAAAAAUUAGAGUGUUUAAAGCAGGCUAACGCUUGAAUACAUUAGCAUGGAAUAAUGAAAUAGGACGAUCGAUCCUAUUUUGUUGGUUUCUAGGAUUGACGUAAUGAUUAAUAGGGAUAGUUGGGGGCAUUAGUAUUCAAUUGUCAGAGGUGAAAUUCUUGGAUUUAUUGAAGACUAACUACUGCGAAAGCACUUUGCCAAGGAUGUUUUCAUUAAUCAAGGACGAAAGUUAGGGGAUCGAAGACGAUCAGAUACCGUCGUAGUCUUAACCAUAAACUAUAGCCGACUAGGGAUCGGAUGAUGUUAAUUUUUAAUGACU